rnacentral:lncRNA from 1 species
AGGCUGGGCCCCUCAUAGCUAACGAUGACCUAUGGGGGGGAUGCUGCUGGCAAAAAUAAGCAAGAGGCUGGUGAGGCUUAGUAGGGAGGAAUUUGUUAUGUCGAAGAAGAGGGAGCCUGCCCAUCUGGAGAAAUAUUCAGAACCUUCCUCAGGAAGAUUUCAGCAUCUCAGAGUCCAGGACAAGGAAGAUAAGAAAAGGAGGGAGGAGCAGCAGCCAGCCUGGUGAAAAAUGCUGACCGUCUUUCUAUAUGAGCUCUAAAAUCA